rnacentral:rRNA from 1 species
UACGGUCAAAUCAUAGUGAAAACACCGGUUCUCGUUCGAUCACCACAGUUAAGUAGCGUCAGCUCCGGUCAGUAAUAAGAUGGAGGACCUCUUGGGAUUUGAAG